rnacentral:rRNA from 1 species
UACAGAGGUCUCAAGCGUUGUUCGGAUUCAUUGGGCGUAAAGGGUGCGUAGGCGGCGCGGUAAGUCGGGUGUGAAAUCUCGGGGCUUAACUCCGAAACUGCAUUCGAUACUACCGUGCUUGAGGACUGGAGAGGAGACUGGAAUUUACGGUGUAGCGGUGAAAUGCGUAGAUAUCGUAAGGAAGACCAGUGGCGAAGGCGGGUCUCUGGACAGUUCCUGACGCUGAGGCACGAAGGCCAGGGGAGCAAACAGG